rnacentral:rRNA from 1 species
AGAUUGAACGCUGGCGGCAUGCCUUACACAUGCAAGUCGAACGGUAGAGUAGCAAUACUCGAGAGUGGCGAACGGGUGAGUAAUAUAUCGGAACGUGCCCAGUCGUGGGGGAUAACGUAGAGAAAUUUACGCUAAUACCGCAUACGAUCUACGGAUGAAAGCGGGGGACUCGCAAGAGCCUCGCGCGAUUGGAGCGGCUGAUAUCAGAUUAGGUUGUUGGUGAGGUAAAAGCUCACCAAGCCGACGAUCUGUAGCUGGUUUGAGAGAACGACCAGCCACACGUGGACUGACGACACGGCCAGACCUCGUACGGGAGGCAGCGAGGUAGGGUAUUUUGGACUAAGUGGGACGAAACGCCUAGAUCCGAG